GUGCCAGCCGCCGCGGUAAAACGUAGGUGGCGAGCGUUAUCCGGAAUUACCGUGCGUAAAGCUUGUGCAGGCGGGCUAGCAAGUUGUGUAUGAAAGCUCCCGGCUCAACCGGGAAGGGUUAUGCCAGACUGCUAGUCUUGAGUGCGAGAGAGGAGCGUGGAAUUCCGGGUGUAGUGGUGAAAUGCGUAGAGAUCCGGAGGAACCCCAGAGGCGAAGGCGGCUCUCUGGCUCGCAACUGACGCUCAGACACGACAGCAUGGGGAGCGAACGGGAUUAGAAACCCGCGUAGUCC
rnacentral:rRNA from 1 species